rnacentral:rRNA from 1 species
UACAGAGGGUGCAAGCGUUGUUCGGAUUCAUUGGGCGUAAAGGGUGCGUAGGUGGCGCCGUAAGUGGGGUGUGAAAUUUCGGAGCUUAACUCCGAAACUGCAUUCCAUACUGCGGUGCUUGAGGACUGGAGAGGAGACUGGAAUUCAUGGUGUAGCAGUGAAAUGCGUAGAGAUCAUGAGGAAGACCAGUGGCGAAGGCGGGUCUCUGGGCCGAUACUGACGCUGAGGAGCGAAAGCAUGGGUAGCGAACAGG